rnacentral:rRNA from 1 species
CAUUACCGAGUUUACAACUCCCAAACCCCUGUGAACAUACCUUUAUGUUGCCUCGGCGGAUCAGCCCGCGCCCCGUAAAACGGGACGGCCCGCCGCAGGAACCACAAAACUCUGAUUUUAGUGUAACUUCUGAGUCUAAAAAACAAAUAAAUCAAAACUUUCAACAACGCAUCUCUUGGUUCUGGCAUCGAUGAAGAACGCAGCAAAAUGCGAUAAGUAAUGUGAAUUGCAGAAUUCAGUGAAUCAUCGAAUCUUUGAACGCACAUUGCGCCCGCCAGUAUUCUGGCGGGCAUGCCUGUUCGAGCGUCAUUUCAACCCUCAAGCCCCCGGGUUUGGUGUUGGGGAUCGGGCUGUACUCCAGCCCGGCCCCGAAAUCUAGUGGCGGUCUCGCUGCAGCCUCCAUUGGGUAGUAGCUAACACCUCGCAACUGGAACGCGGCGCGGCCAAGCCGUUAAACCCCCAACUUCUGAAUGUGACCUCGGAUCAGGUGGAAUACCCC